ACAGCCUCUGCUUUAGGCCCAGAAGGAAAAGAAGCUUACAGGAGACAAUCAGUCUUACACUCUUCCAUGGUCACAAACAAAAGGUCCCUGGAUCUACAGGUUAGCAUGAAAGUUUUGGAGAAAAUGAGUAGCUCUGAAGAGGUGGACAAAGCUAAAUUUCUGGCUUUCAAGAUGGACAGUCAGACCCUAGACAAAUGACUUACAAAUCACCCCACCUGGAAUUCCCAGCAUGCAUAUGAGGAAAUGAAAGAACCAGAGCAUUAUAGCAAAAUGAAUCCUGGAAUGGGAAUGCAAUGCCUGGAUUUGUGGCACAGUUGCGAAGUGUCCUGGCCAUGCCAUGUUAAAGUUGUCUCCAAGGCAGUGAUUCUUACCCUUGGCUACACAUUGGAGUCAUUUGGGAAGCUAGAAAAAAAAAAAAAAAGAAAAAGAAAAAAAUGCCCAGGACCUGGACAAGACAGCUGAAUAAGAACAGCUCUGGUCUGCAGCUCCCAGCAAGAUCAACGC